AUGAUGGGGAGGAAGGCCCUGGACUACGAGGAGCUCAACGAGAACGUCAAGAAGGUGCAGUACGCCGUGCGCGGGGAGCUCUACCUCCGCGCCUCCGAGCUCCAGAAGGAGGGCAAGAGGAUCAUCUUCACCAACGUCGGCAACCCGCACGCCCUCGGCCAGAAGCCACUCACCUUCCCCCGCCAGGUGGUGGCGCUCUGCCAGGCUCCCUUCCUGCUCGAUGAUCCCAACGUCGGCCUCAUCUUCCCCGCCGAUGCCAUCGCGAGGGCCAAGCACUACCUCUCCCUCGCGCCCGGCGGUUUAGGUGCUUACAGUGACUCCCGAGGUAUCCCUGGGGUUAGGCAGGAAGUUGCCGAGUUCAUUCAGAGGCGUGAUGGGUAUCCAAGUGAUCCAGAGCUUAUUUACCUCACUGAUGGUGCCAGCAAAGGUGUGAUGCAAAUGCUCAACGCCAUUAUCAGAAACGAGAGGGACGGGAUUUUGGUCCCUGUUCCACAAUACCCGCUUUAUUCUGCUGCUAUUUCCCUCUUUGGUGGUUCUCUUGUCCCGUAUUAUUUGGAAGAAGAGGCUAACUGGGGACUUGAUCUUGUCAGUACCCGGCAAUCAGUUGCAGAAGCACGGUCAAAGGGAAUCACUGUUCGAGCAAUGGUGAUAAUAAACCCAGGAAACCCUACUGGUCAAUGCCUAAGUGAAGCAAAUAUUAGGGAACUUUUGAACUUCUGCUAUCAGGAAAACUUGGUUCUGCUUGCAGAUGAAGUUUAUCAACAGAAUGUUUAUCAAGAUGAGCGUCCGUUUAUAAGUGCAAGAAAGGUUAUGUUUGACAUGGGUCCUCCAGUAAGCAGGGAAGUUCAGCUGAUUUCUUUCCAUACUGUGUCCAAAGGAUAUUGGGGAGAGUGUGGACAACGUGGUGGGUACUUUGAAAUGACAAAUAUUCCUCCCAAGACUGUCGACGAGAUUUACAAGGUUGCAUCAAUCGCGCUGAGUCCAAAUGUUCCUGGGCAGAUCUUUAUGGGGCUUAUGGUGAACCCUCCUAAACCUGGAGACAUCUCGUACCUGAAGUACUCUGCUGAAAGUAAGUCUAUCCUUGAAUCUUUAAGGAGGAGGGCACAAAUAAUGACAGACGGUUUCAAUAGUUGCCGAAAUGUUGUCUGCAAUUUCACAGAAGGAGCUAUGUAUUCUUUCCCGCAAAUACGGCUGCCGCAAAGAGCUAUGGAUGUAGCAAAAAGCGCUGGCAAAGCGCCCGAUGUUUACUACUGCCUCAAGCUUCUGGAAGCCACUGGAAUUUCCACUGUUCCAGGCUCAGGUUUUGGUCAGAAAGAAGGGGUGUUCCAUCUGAGGACGACGAUCCUGCCCGCGGAGGAGGACAUGCCGGCGAUCAUGUCGAGCUUCAAGAAGUUCAACGACUCGUUCAUGGAGCAAUACCAGGACCACUCGAGGCUGUGA
rnacentral:rRNA from 1 species